UACACGGCAAUUGCGUGACGCCGCCUUGCCGGCCGGGCGUUUCUUCCGCGUUGCCGCCUUUCUUCUUCGGGGAGCACCCGCUAAUUAAAGCGCUCGGCUCGGCUUUGCCCGAGGCGGCUUUGCCCGGCGGCUGCUCCUCCUCCUCCCUGCCUUCCUGCGUCCCUCGCUGCCUCUUCCCCCGACGCGCGAAGAAGGGGACUCGGGCGCAGCUCCAGGUGGCUUCCGGGACGCCGCGGCGAAGUGGGAGCGGAGAGCGAGAGAGACGUCGAGUGCUGAGGAAAGCAGUGACCAACCUGGUGAUAACAGAAUAAUGCAAAGAGGGAGCUGCAGCCAAAGUCAGGAAAAGAGGUGAACAAGAAGAGAGCUGAAAAGAGCAGAACAAUGAUAGGCUUCAUGAAGGCGUGGUCUUUGACUGCUUGGGAAAAGUCCUGGAGAGGAGGAGACACAAGCUGUGGGAAGGCAGGGACUUUCAGCAUCGGCAACUGAUUUCAUGGAGUAAGACCCACAGGGAAUGAGCUGUUGUGUUCAUUAGGUGUGAUGCUCAGCCAAGUCUGCCAAGAUCAUGGUUUUGCUAAUAAACAGUU